rnacentral:rRNA from 1 species
UACGUAGGGGGCAAGCGUUGUCCGGAUUUAUUGGGCGUAAAGAGCGUGUAGGCGGCUCGGUAGGUCCGCUGUGAAAACUCGAGGCUCAACCUCGAGAUGUCGGCGGAAACCACUUGGCUAGAGUCCGGAAGAGGAGAGUGGAAUUCCCGGUGUAGCGGUGAAAUGCGCAGAUAUCGGGAAGAACACCUAUGGCGAAGGCAGCUCUCUGGGACGGUACUGACGCUGAGACGCGAAAGCGUGGGGAGCGAACAGG